rnacentral:rRNA from 1 species
AGCUCCAAUAGCGUAUUUUAAAGUUGUUGCAGUUAAAAAGCUCGUAGUUGGAUUUCUGGUCGAGUGUCCCCAAGCAGACAGACGUCUUGUCUUGGGCGCUCUGCCAUCCUUCUGUUAACCUUCGCCUCGUUCGUUCGUGGCGCUGGGGCUCAGAUAUUUUACCUUGAGAAAAUUAGAGUGUUUCAGGCAGGCUUUCGCCGGAAUACAUUAGCAUGGAAUAAUGGAAAAGGACUUCAACCUCUUCUGUUGGUCUGAGAGGCUGUAGUAAUGAUUAAUAGGGAUAGUUGGGGGCAUUAGUACUUAACUGUCAGAGGUGAAAUUCUCCGAUUUGUUAAAGACUAACUUAUGCGAAAGCAUUUGCCAAGGAUGUUUUCA